rnacentral:rRNA from 1 species
GAGUUUGAUCGUGGCUCAGAUUGAACGCUGGCGGCAGGCCUAACACAUGCAAGUCGGGCGGUAGAGAGAAGCUUGCUUCUCUUGAGAGCGGCGGACGGUGAGUAAUGCCUAGGAAUCUGCCUGGUAGUGGGGGAUAACGCUCGGAAACGGACGCUAAUACCGCAUACGUCCUACGGGAGAAAGCAGGGGACCUUCGGGCCUUGCGCUAUCAGAUGAGCCUAGGUCGGAUUAGCUAGUUGGUGAGGUAAUGGCUCACCAAGGCGACGAUCCGUAACUGGUCUGAGAGGAUGAUCAGUCACACUGGAACUGAGACACGGUCCAGACUCCUACGGGAGGCAGCAGUGGGGAAUAUUGGACAAUGGGCGAAAGCCUGAUCCAGCCAUGCCGCGUGUGUGAAGAAGGUCUUCGCAUUGUAAAGCACUUUAAGUUGGGAGGAAGGGCAGUAAAUUAAUACUUUGCUGUUUUGACGUUACCGACAGAAUAAAGCACCGGCUAAC